UCUGCCAAUGGACUUCAAGUCUGUAUGGGCAGCAAUGGAAGAGUGCCAACGGCUUGGCCUUACAAAGACCAUUGGAGUCUGCAACUUCUCUUGCAAGAAGCUCAAUGACUUACUUGCCUUGGCUAAAAUCCCUCCUUCAGUAAAUCAAGUGGAGAUGAGUCCUGUCUGGCAACAAAAGAAGCUCAGAGAGCUCUGCAAGGCCAAAGGUAUAGUUUUGACAGCUUAUUCUCCCCUGGGAGCAAAAGGGACACGCUGGGGCACUAAUGCUGUAAUGGACAAUGAAGUGCUAAAUGAGAUUGCAAAGGCUCAUGGAAAGACUGUUGCUCAGGUUUCUGUUACAUUAAGCUUCAGUAGUUCCUUCCUUGUAUGUUAUUCAUCGAAGAGAUAUUAUAACAUAUUGAUUGUGUUAUCAAUGAGAAUACCUCUAUGAAUGUUAAAAAUGUGAGAAAAUCUACAAUACUCAUUUGAAUUAACGAUAUAAAAUGUAUAGGAAAUGAACAUUAGAUAUGCAGGCUGCAAUGCGAUGAAUGUAAAAAUAGUGGCUGUGAUUUAGUUGUAGUCAUACUUUAGAGGUUGAUAGAGAAUGAGCACAUAAUUUAGUAAGUAGGGGUUAAUUAUCCAAAAGCUAGCUCAAGUCGAGGAGAUUUAUUCAAGUCUUGUAUUUAGGUCAAAUAUCUUAUUCCAAACCAAGGCAUGAACAUAUGGAAUGAGAAGUUUACGGGCAACAUUGAUGUAGGGUAGGCGCUGAUAUCAAUCUUAAGAAAACUCAUACCCGCGAGCUAGUACAAGGGAGAAGAAGUGUCCAAGACUUUAUAAGGGCAUAUUACUUUAUCCGAAACCAAUGUGCGAUAUUAAUGGUAUGUGCAUGAUUUAUUGUCCUCUAUUAUAUGGUCUUGUUGAUGGAGGGAGCCGCUUAGCAGGUUUGUCUUGAAUGAAUCAAGCUUGAUGCAUGAUUUUUGGUGUGUCAAUUACAUUAUUGAUAUGUUGAUGGAUGAAUCACCUUGGCAGGUUUGUCUGAGAUGGGUGUAUGAACAGGGAGUUACUCUUGUAGUUAAGAGCCAUAAAAAGGAGAGACUGAAGGAAAAUUUGGAGAUAUUUGACUGGGCACUGUCAAAGGAUGAUUAUAACAAGAUCAAUCAGAUCCCUCAACGAAGAUUACAGCCUAAAGAACUGUUGGUUUCAGCAGAUGGACCAUACAAGUCCCUUGAAGAGCUAUGGGAUGGGGAGUUUUAACUCGUGUGUUUGUGUGUGUAUUAAAAACUCCUACAAUGUGGGACUAAUUUAUGUACGGACAAUUUCCUAAUGUCCUGUUCAUUAAUAACAAAAUAUUUUCUUUUGUAAUGAUAAAAAAAAUGCCUUUUUU
rnacentral:misc_RNA from 1 species